CCUACGGGUGGCAGCAGUGGGGAAUAUUGGACAAUGGGCGCAAGCCUGAUCCAGCCAUGCCGCGUGGAUGAUGAAGGCCUUUGGGUUGUAAAGUCCUUUCAGCGGGGAAGAUAAUGACGGUACCCGCAGAAGAAGCCCCGGCUAACUUCGUGCCAGCAGCCGCGGUAAUACGAAGGGGGCUAGCGUUGCUCGGAAUUACUGGGCGUAAAGCGUACGUAGGCGGAUCCUUAAGUCGGUGGUGAAAUCCUGAAGCUCAACUUCAGAACUGCCUUCGAUACUGAGGACCUUGAGUUCGGGAGAGGUGAGUGGAACUGCGAGUGUAGAGGUGAAAUUCGUAGAUAUUCGCAAGAACACCAGUGGCGAAGGCGGCUCACUGGCCCGAUACUGACGCUGAGGUACGAAAGCGUGGGGAGCAAACAGGAUUAGAUACCCCUGUAGUC
rnacentral:rRNA from 1 species